UUUUUUUUUUGAAAGUAGCAUCCACAUUACUUUACUUAGUUUAAAGUAGGGGGACGGCACUGUGCAAUUUUGGGUGCAUUUCACUUUAUUUACGAGCUUGCCACCCCCUGUUCAUUCUUUGUUCGGUGAGGGUUUCGGGGAUGGGAGGCCAUGCCACUCGGGGAUCGAGAUAGAGAGACAGAGGGAGAGGGAGACAGAGCGACAGAAACGCCAAUCGAAGACGCCCAGAAAGCCCAAAGAUAGCGUUCUCGAACAGAAAUCGCCGGCGGAGUUCUUUGUGGAGAACAAGAACAUUGCUGGGUUCGAUAAUGUAUGCUUUUUCUUUUACAUUAUUGUUUUACCUUUAUUUUUUGGACGAAAGUUGGAAUCUUAUGGUUUUUAAUUUAAAGACUAGGAAUUUGAAUGGUGUAGUGGAGGUUGAAGUUGUUUCCCACAAUUUUGUUAUGAAUUCUCAAUGUUUGAUGAAUUCGGGAAAUCACUUUUGUCAUCUCUUACUGUUCGUAUGAGUUGGAAUUUGGAUUUUCACACACA